GCUGUCCCAACUUUCUGGGGCCAUCCAUCUGGGUCUGUCAUUGGCCUAGGCUUCCUCUUCUCCCUAUAAGGAAGACUCUCGGGUGUGCCCAGAGCUCCAGCCUACCGAGAAGGCGCAGGAAGUCCCAGUGAUGCCCGAGGCCCCUCACAACCCUUCUGCUCCAAGAGGGGAUCCAGCAGGUGCCUCUGCCCAGGGCCUGGCUUCCCCGGCUGUCAUGGCUCCUCCGUUAGGGCUGUUCAUGUGUACACUGUGGGAACGAAGCCUGGUGAGCAUUGCCACCAUGCUCCUGAGUAAAGGUCUAGUUUUUUUAAGGCAGGUUUUUUCCCCCUUCAUAGUUAAACAGAAAAUAUUUUUUUAUUCUUGACCUACCCAAGUCACCCAAGAAAUACAACCCUUCGCCCGACCAGAUGGGUGAGAGCAGCCCCAGCCCAGGCAGGCAUGGAGCUGGGUGGACAGGCCUCUGCUGGGUUAGCCUAUCUGGACUGGGUGCUUUGCCUCUGCCCUUUCUGGCACAUACUGCCAAGAGUGCAAGUGUCAUGUGCCAAAUGGCCUGUCAUUGUGAGGCUGGGUUCUGUGGCCACCUUUCCCUCCACUCCUCACGUUCUCACCUGUAAAGCGUCCCUCCCUCUGUUGGAGCUCUUGGCUUACCUAAUAGCUGUGAGUACAGCACAGCAGGAGCAGGGGGUGACCAGCACCAGCACUGUCAGCACUUUGAGCCUUCCCUGCUCAGGAAGGCCAUGACCUUGCCCACCUCAUCCCCAUGCCCCCUUACCCUGCAGGGUAGAGUAGGCUAGAAACCAGAGAGCUCCAAGCUCCAUCUGUGGAGAGGUGCCAUCCUUGGGCUGCAGAGAGAGGAGAAUUUGCCCCAAAGCUGCCUGCAGAGCUUCACCACCCUUAGUCUCACAAAGCCUUGAGUUCAUAGCAUUUCUUGAGUUUUCACCCUGCCCAGCAGGACACUGCAGCACCCAAAGGGCUUCCCAGGAGUAGGGUUGCCCUCAAGAGGCUCUUGGGUCUGAUGGCCACAUCCUGGAAUUGUUUUCAAGUUGAUGGUCACAGCCCUGAGGCAUGUAGGGGCGUGGGGAUGCGCUCUGCUCUGCUCUCCUCUCCUGAACCCCUGAACCCUCUGGCUACCCCAGAGCACUUAGAGCCAGGGGCCUCAGGUGGAAUGGAGGGUCUCCCUGGAAAUGUGCCUGUCCUGUCUAGAGGAGGUUACCCCACCCUCCCUGAGGUGAAUGAGCUGAGUCACCUGAAGCUUGAAUUGUGCAAUAAAACAUAGGAGUAGGAAGGCAGAUGGCAGAGGCUGCCAAGAGUUCAUCUGUCCGUCAUGGAAGACAGCGCUCACCAGUGGUUGAAACACCAAAGCCCCCAGAACCACCCAGUGUAUCUCUAUCUGCACCCCCGAGCUAGCAUUAACACGUCCCCCAAACUACAACCUGAUCAGAGCCUCCUUUCCUUGUUUUGGGAUCCUGAAUGGGCAAGAGUCUGUCCCCUGUGGGCCUGUCACAUGAGGGUAUUCCAGAACCUGUCUAGGAGAUGGAGCCCUCCCAGUGUCUGGGCUGCGAGCAUAAGAGCUGGCCCUGUCCUUGACUAAGCGACUGACUGACUGCUCAAGUGAGAGACUUGCCCCCACCAGAAGAGUGCUCACGUGAACCUCAGCAGUGCCCACACUAUUGGAAAAAAUGCUAUUUUAUGCAAUAUUCUGACAAGUGAGCCUUGGCAGUGCAGAGGAGAAACUGCUGCUGUGUGGUAUUUGAGUGAUUUUGCAGUAAAGAGCUGGCCUUUCUAAGCAGUCUUGUUUCUGAAUCUCAAUCAUUUGGCUCUGGGGAAACACUACCUGGCUCCCCUUAGUCCUAUGCACUGAGCAUUUCAGGGUCCAUGGAGCACACUUGCCUGACCAAGCAGCGAGGGAGAAGAGGUAAGUGAGGGAAUGUAGGCUGCGGGCGCAGGUGGGUGCCUUUCUCUCUCUCUCUCUCUCUCUCUCUCUCUCUCUCUCUCUCUCUCUCUCUCUCUCAAACACACACACACACACACACCCUGUAAAAGCAGGACUCUGGGCAUGGAGAGAGGCAAACAAGGAAACCGGGCCCUGGCACCUACACUCACGGAUUAAAGACUCCAGAGGCCUGUCUACUGCUAGCCUUCCCCAGGAGCUCCAGGAGAAGCCCCCACCCCCACCAAACACCCCCACCCCCCACUGCCCCUGUUAGGACAAAAGAAGGAAACAGAUUAAUUCCUAGGGAAACCAGGUUGCAGAAAAAUGGGACAGAAAAAGACAACAUCCAGGGCUUCGUUUCCUGGCCUUGAGCGCCCUCAGCCAGUGGGUGGGUGCUCCUUGGCCAUCUUUGAGGCAGGUUCUCAGGGCUCAGAGCAAAGGGAGAGGAACUGGAUUUGGAGGUUGGGGGUGGCAGGCCCGGGGGAGGCGCCUGGCACUUGCGCUGCUGCUGCUGCUGUCUUUGGUUGUCUUUCCACCUUCAGCACAGUGCCUCUGAGGGCAGUUUCCCCUUUCCCCUGUCUAGAGGGGGAUGGGCAAACUGGAGUUCUCAUCCCCAGAAAGUGCCUCCUAUAAUGAAAGGAACAGGUUAAUAAAAUACAUGCGCUCAC
rnacentral:lncRNA from 1 species